rnacentral:rRNA from 1 species
GACGAACGCUGGCGGCGUGCCUAAUACAUGCAAGUCGAGCGCAGGAAAUCAUCCGAACCCUUCGGGGGGACGUUGGUGGAAUGAGCGGCGGACGGGUGAGUAACACGUAAAGAACCUGCCCUCAGGUCUGGGAUAACCACGAGAAAUCGGGGCUAAUACCGGAUGGGUCAUCGGACCGCAUGGUCCGAGGAUGAAAGGCGCUUCGGCGUCGCCUGGGGAUGGCUUUGCGGUGCAUUAGCUAGUUGGUGGGGUAAUGGCCCACCAAGGCGACGAUGCAUAGCCGAGCUGAGAGGGUGAUCGGCCACACUGGGACUGAGACACGGCCCAGACUCCUACGGGAGUCAGCAGUAGGGAAUCUUCCACAAUGGACGAAAGUCUGAUGGAGCAACGCCGCGUGAACGAUGAAGGCCUUCGGGUCGUAAAGUUCUGUUGUAAGGGAAGAACAAGUGCCGCAGGCAAUGGCGGCACCUUGACGGUACCUUGCGAGAAAGCCACGGCUAACUACGUGCCAGCCGCCGCCGUAA